AUGUUACCAGCCAGUAGUCGCAGAUGCAGCACCAUUAAGAUUCACAAGAGAUGUGGUUCCCUUUGUUUUCGCCUCUCGAUCCGAAGAAAAGGGUUCCUUUCGAGUGGGAAUCUUGAUGAUGCUGCAUCAGCAAAUACAUGGCUACU
rnacentral:pre_miRNA from 1 species